GCAGGAAAGCACAUGGUUUGCUUCGCGGUCAUCUUGGAAAGGUGGUGAAAGGUCUGGAGAGCUGGCAGGCCAGUUCAUCAAAUUCAAGACUGAUGCUGUUGAAAUCAGAAGAGAAUACAUCGCCUUUGCGUGUACCUGAAUGAAGAUCCUGAGAAGCUGGUGAAGGAUUACCUGG